UACGUAGGGACCGAGCGUUGUCCGGAUUCAUUGGGCGUAAAGAGCUCGUAGGCGGCUUUUCAAGUCGAACGUGAAAACUCGGAGCUCAACUCCGAGCCUGCGUUCGAGACUGGAUGGCUAGAGUCUGGUAGGGGGAUCUGGAAUUCCUGGUGUAGCGGUGGAAUGCGCAGAUAUCAGGAGGAACACCGGUGGCGAAGGCGGGAUCCUGGGCCAGUACUGACGCUGAGGAGCGAAAGCGUGGGGAGCAAACAGG
rnacentral:rRNA from 1 species